CAGAGUCAGAGACCUGGCCUUUCUUUCCACAUGCCCCUCCUAGCAUAAUUUUUUAAUACAUGAUACAACCAAAGGAAAGAAAUCCACAGAAUGUAAAGAGACUUCUACAGAAUACCGAAGUAACAGAGUUUGAUACUGCCUGCCUGGCGAUGCAUUAUGCAUUACAUUAUGAGUGACAGCAGCAGGAAUAGCCUGUCAGGACUAAUGGUGGACCUCAGGAGUAAAGGCAUUUCUGAGAAGUAUCAAAAGUUCGUGCCUGCAAUUGUUGAUUUUGGUGGUAAACAAGUCAGAGGAAGUGACCUCUUCAAUUGUUGAUUUGGUGGUAAACAAGUCAGAGGAAGUGACCUCUUCAGCACCAAAGUUGCUGUGGCUAUCACUAAACAGUUCCUCAGAGGACUGAAGGUGUAAACAUCUUCUCUGGGCUUUCCUAAGUGAGAAAUAAUUGAAGCCCCUGAGGCUGAAAGUGGAUGAAUGUGAUCUUCAAAGUACCUUCAAGACUGUGGUUGAUUUAGUACUGUCAAGUAAAUGAAAUUGAAAAGUA